ensembl:snoRNA K02A11.12 ncRNA
CACUCUUCGGUUCAAAUUGUGUUUUUUGCGUUUGAGUUCGUUGAUUCAUUUUUUCAUCUAUUUCUUCCGAUUCAUAGGGUUUUCUACUCUUUUUCAGUAAUUUUUUUAUUAUUACGCUUGGCACAAUGAGAAUUCUCGCGAUAUUGCGUUAAAAA